rnacentral:lncRNA from 1 species
CUUAAUACAAUGUUCCAACAGUGUGUGGUUUAAAUACAACAUGAACAUUCAACCAAUCAAACAAAAACUGCUAAGCUACAGUACGGAGAGAAACCAUUAUCCUUCUCGAAAAGUAAUUUCGAAAUUUAUUGAAUAAAUACAAAUAUCGAACAACCAACCAAACAGGAUAGUCGGGAUUCAAUUCCAUGACAGUUCAACGGUAUACCUGGAAAUUACAACAAGGAAAAGAGGUGAGUUAAACAGGUGCAGUAGUAGAACCCAGCAACAAAAAGUUAACAAGAAAAUGACUAAGGGAGACAAGUUUCAAGCCAAAUUCAAACCAACAGAAGGAUCAUGGAUAUCCAAUAAUCAAAAUGCAUACAAACUUGAACCAAAUACUUGAAAACUAGCAAACUCAGAUCAUUUUUUAUCCACUAGAAUCUCCGAAAUUUUAAUGGAACUGUAUUUUUAGACGUUUUAAUUUCUGUAUUUUUUAGCUCUCAAAAAUUCUCUUUUCCAAUUUUCAUAAUGUUCAAGGCUUCCUUUCAAGGCAUGAAAACAUGCUUUUAUAGGCAAAACAUGCAGGGCAAACAACAAAUUUCAGCUUACAUUUUUGCCCUUAAAAUCAGAAAGAGGAUGAGGCAGAAAAGCCUAAUCAAACUAUGAAUUAAGGCCUCAGUUACGUCCCAAACUUAAUGUUAAAAGAAAUAAAGAAAUUAAAUUAAUCUAAUCAAUUAAACUAAAGAAGAAACAAUUAACAUUUGACUUGAUUGAGAGAAACACAUGAACAGAUUGAGAAAAAUAAAAAUAAAAACAAAAAGUAGAAUGAAAUGAGAAUGAAAAAGUACCGGAGAUUAUCUGAACUGGGUGCACCAAGUCUGAGUCAAAACUUGGUGAACUCCUUGAUUUCUAGCAGAGAUGGACCUUAAUCGUGCGUUCUCAACUGAGAACACCAGACUAAAGUCAAUUUCGAUCCCAAAUCUUUAAAGCCCGACCUAUUUGAUGUUUUGGGUAUUUAGGGCUAGACCAUCUGAUAAAAAAUUCAAGCUUAGGGAUAUUUGAGAUAAGUUGAGUGGGGAUUUAGGAUAAAGGGGACGAGGAGGUUAUAGGGUGUGAUUUUGGGACGAUUUGGUGGUGGCACCGCCACCGGAGAACUUCUGGCGGCGCUAGAUUCAUGGUUUUCAAUUCAAGAUUCGAGAGAUUUGGGUAGGUUUUGAUGGAACUAGUUAUGGAUUCGAGAUGAGAAGGAAAAGGAAGGGCUGUGGUAUAAAAGUGGUGGCAUUUGGCCACCGGUCGCCGGUGAAGAUGGUGGAGGAUUUGAGGAGACUGACUCUAAGGUUCUAAGUUCUCCGAAGAGUGAGGUGAG